AAAAAGGAACACAUAGAUAGCAGAGAAGAAGAACCGAGAAAUGUGAGAAAGGAAGGAAGAAGAAGAAGAAGAAGUGGAAGUGGGUUUUCAAGCUUGGAUUUUCCAUUUCUUCAAUUUCUCCACUGAUCUAGAGAGGUAGGUGUAAGUAUGUUGAAUUAUCUUUUUGAGUUUAUGGAAUUUAAGGUUUAGCAAAAAUUAAUGAUUUUUGAUAUAUGUUUGAGGCAUUAAAAACAAUAAUAUUAGUGUUGAAAGGAAGGAAAUAUGAAAUGGGUUUGCAAAUUAGAGUAUCAAUCUUUGAUAUAUGAUAUAAAACACUUGAUUUAUGAGGAAAUAGAGUGGCUUGAUUUAUGAGGAAUUAGAGUGGGUAAAGGAUUUUAGGUUAGAUUUUGGUAUUUAUAAUCAAUUUUCAAGCAAAAUUCAUGUACAGGUGCUAUCUUUGAAAUUCAUCCCAGAAAGUGCUAUUUCUGUCAAUGGAUUCGAUUGGUGUCAAAUUUCAAUAGUCUGGGAUUUAGUACUGUUUUUGUCCAGCUUUUGUUUUCUCAGAUUUUAUAAGUUUGAAUGAAGCUAAGUGAUAAAUUUUGGAGUCUAGUUAUUGGAUUAAAUCAUGGAUAGGGGUUGUGUGGGUGUAAGGUAGUGAUUUUAGGAAAGUAUUGAGUAAUCUAUUGGAUUUUAUUAUGUGCGAUGAUUGGUUGCUAAUAAUCAAAGAGCAAAUAAGUUAGGGAAAUAGAGAUGCAUGAAUAAAUAUAGAAGUUAAGGAAUUACACGAUGGUGACGUUAAUGGUCAUGUUUUAAUUUGAGUAAUUAUAUCAUUAUUUCAAGUGGUGAUGUGAAAGUUUGGAAAGUCUCUUCAAUUUAAUCAGAUGUCCGUGAGUAGAAAAACUUAUAUAAUUUUUGAAAAAUUAAUAUAUUAAUUAUACUAUUAGAUUUUGUGCAAUUUUGUGAAUUUCAUGUACGAAUACAUGAUUUUUAUGAAAGGUUCUUUCAUUAUGAUAUAUGUAAAAUCAUUAAGGUUAUACAUGGAUUAAUUACGAAUUGGAAUAUAACAUGUGAUUUUGAGAUCGAUCAAAAAAGUACACAUGAUUAUAUAUUUCUUCUAAUUCAUGGAGGGGUCUUGGCCGUGUUCUAGAAUUGAUUACCAAAGGUCUUGAAACCACUUUUGUUCAUAGAGGGGCCCAAAGACUCGUGACGAAAGUUUUUAACCUUAGGAGCAGAUUACAGAUUUUAAUCGGAUGGUACAUUUUCGGUGGAUUACAUGUAAUGUUAUGAGAUGAUGACAUGGAUUUGAGUUGAUAAUUAUAUCAUCACUAUGAGAUGAUAUUUUUCAGUGUUACGAGGUGUUUAUUAUUAUUAUUAUUAUUAUUAUUAUUAUUAUUAUUAUUAUUAUUAUUAUUAUUUUAGACUUUGAAUGGUUAAAUGAUGUACACUCAAUUUUCGAUAAAAUUGCGUAAAUGAGAAAGUAUAAUUAUGUUCAAACUUCUUUACUUACUGAAUUAUCAACUCAUAUAUUUUUUUCACUUUUUUCUUACCAGGUAACAAUCGCGUUUGGGGAGCUUUGAAGAGCUUGUUGAUUUAGGAGUCAUCGUCACAUGACCAUUUUAGAUUAUUUAUGUUCAUUGAGAUAAGUAUAUAAAAAAAAAUUAAUUUAGGCCCAUUGCAUUAUAUUUUUCAUAAAGCGCAUAUUUUGUAGUAAGUCAUAGUCAACCUUGGUGAUGGAUUUGGCAUCUAAUUAGUAUCUAUCAUCGGCACACGUCCUGUUCUCAAUCCAUUAGGGUGAUUCGGGACGGGUCGUGUCAACAUACAUGUCUUUUCUAUUCUUCGCUUGCUCUAGGGCAUGAUGCCACACCUCUUCCCUUGAUUCCUACUGCAUGAAUUUUAUGCCUAUAAAUUCCUGCCUUACUAACCUUACUGCAUAACAUGCAUUUCACAUUAUAAGGAUUUUUAGGAUCUUCCAAAAUCACACCAUAUCUAGAAUUUCUUUUUAGAUACUAGCUUUGGAUUUAGAUGUUGAAGAAUUAUAUUUUUCCAUUGGUUACAAAGAAAAUAGAAACAAUAUAAAAUUUAUAAAUAUUGGGGUUCAGUGUAGAUUUUCUUUUAUACUCUGAAAUGGAGACAAAAUUACAAGUUCUGUAAAUAUGACAGAAAUUGAAUCACUAACUUCAACAAAUCUAAAAAAAUUUAUUCCCCUUUAUAGUGGGUUUGUCUCUUUUGCAGAUUGAGAUGGAGAUAUCACCAACUUACUGUAGAAAGUGCCGAAGUGGAUGUUAGACAUGGAGUAGAGGAAGUUUGGGGACUUUUGCUUCGUUCAAGUCUGCCAAAGUGGAUGUUGGAUUUUGAAGAGAGGAAGUUUUGUGACUUUUGCUUCAAUCAAGAUGCUGUUUCUCUCUCUAUGGCAGACGAGAAGGAAAAAAUCAGUCUCUUGAGUUUUAAAAUUAAGAAUUGUAAUUAAAAAAAUUUUAAUAAUAAUGUGUGCUUUAAGAAAUCAAUGCUUGCUGGUCAAUGAUGACAGCUAAAUUAAUCGCUAAGACCCUAGGCAUGACGUCAUGCCUAUUAGAACACUAGCUUAUUAGAACACUAGCUAAAAUAAAAAGAUUUGUAUUGCAAAUUGGGCAAGGUUUCCAUUGGACUUGUUUUGAUGGCUUAAUAGCAAAAAAUGUCCUUACGUUUAGUUUUUA
rnacentral:lncRNA from 1 species